rnacentral:rRNA from 1 species
UACAGAGGGGGCAAGCGUUGUUCGGAAUUACUGGGCGUAAAGGGCGCGUAGGCGGCCUUCUAAGUCGAACGUGAAAUCCCCGGGCUCAACCCGGGAACUGCGUCCGAUACUGGAAGGCUUGAAUCCGGGAGAGGGAUGCGGAAUUCCAGGUGUAGCGGUGAAAUGCGUAGAUAUCUGGAGGAACACCGGUGGCGAAGGCGGCAUCCUGGACCGGCAUUGACGCUGAGGCGCGAAAGCCCAGGGGAGCAAAGCGGGG